AGCUAGGGGAGCGAACGGGAUUAGAUACCCCGGUAGUCCUAGCUGUAAACGAUGGGCACUAGAUGUUUCCGCGUCUCAGCGGGGAGUGUCGAAGUUUACGCGAUAAGUGCCCCGCCGUGGGGAUUACGAUCGCUAGACUGAAACUCAUAGGAAGUAACGGGGGCCCGCACAACCGGUGGAGCAUCUGGUUUAAUUCGACGCAACGCGAAGAACCUUACCUGGGCUUGAACUACUGGGUUUAGCUUCCUGAAAGGGAAGUGAACCUGCUUGCAGGAGACCAGCAGAGGUGCUGCAUGGCUGUCGUCAGCUCGUGUCGUGAGAUGUUGGGUUAAGUCCCACUACGAGCGCGACCCUUGCCUUUACUUGCCAGCGAGUCAUGAUCGAGUACUGUAACGUGGAAGGCCACGGACACCGUGGACGUAGAUGAAGAUGACGUCAAGUCAGCAUGACCUUGACGUCUAGGUCUAGACAGUACACACGCUUUAGACGGGACGAAGGGACGCGAAACCGCAAGGUGGAGCUAAUCUUCAAAGCUGCUCUCAGUUCGGAUCGCAGGCUGCAAUUCGCCUGCGUGAAGUUGGAAUCGCUAGUAAUCGCGGAUCAGCCUCGCCGCGGUGAAUACGUUCUCGGGCCUUGUACACACCGCCCGUCACAUUACGAAAGUUGGUUAUACCCAGAAGUCGCCAGGGCUAACCUUUGGAGGCAGGCGCCGAAGGUAUGAUC
rnacentral:rRNA from 1 species